CUUCACCGACCCCAGCAGCAGCGGCUGCUCGGCCGGGCGGUCCUGCCCGUACGUGGCCAGCAGCGCCUGCGCCUC
rnacentral:antisense_RNA from 1 species